rnacentral:rRNA from 1 species
CCUACGGGAGGCUGCAGUGAGGAAUAUUGGUCAAUGGGCGCGAGCCUGAACCAGCCAAGUAGCGUGAAGGAUGACUGCCCUACGGGUUGUAAACUUCUUUUGUAAGGGAAUAAAGUGAGGCACGUGUGCCUUUCUGUAUGUACUUUAUGAAUAAGGAUCGGCUAACUCCGUGCCAGCAGCCGCGGUAAUACGGAGGAUCCGAGCGUUAUCCGGAUUUAUUGGGUUUAAAGGGAGCGUAGAUGGGUUGUUAAGUCAGUUGUGAAAGUUUGCGGGUCAACCGUAAAAUUGCAAUUGAUACUGGCAGUCUUGAGUACAGUUGAGGUAGGCGGAAUGCGUGGUGUAGCGGUGAAAUGCUUAGAUAUCACGAAGAACUCCGAUUGCGAAGGCAGCGUACUAAACUGCCACUGACAUUGAUGCACGAAAGUGUGGGGAUCAAACAGGAUUAGAUACCCUAGUAGUC